ACAAGCAGCGGAGCGUGUGGUUUAAUUCGAUGAUACGCAAGAACCUCACCCAGGUUUGACAUGCAUGUGGUACUGAUGUGAAAGCUGAGGGACCCUUCGGGGAGCAUGCACAGGUGUUGCACGGCCGUCGUCAGCUCGUGCCGUGAGGUGUUGGGUUAAGUCCCGCAACGAGCGCAACCCCUGUCGCCAGUUGUACUUUUCUGGCGAGACUGCCGAGAAAACCUCGGAGGAAGGAGGGGACGAUGUCAGGUCAGCGUGGCCCUUACGCCUGGGGCUACACACACGCUACAAUGGGCAGUACAACGGGUCGCCAAGCCGCGAGGUGGAGCUAAUCCCAUCAAAACUGUCCUCAGUUCGGAUUGCAGGCUGAAACCCGCCUGCAUGAAGCCGGAGUUGCUAGUAACCGCAGGUCAGCACUACUGCGGUGAAUACGUUCCCGGGCCUU
rnacentral:rRNA from 1 species